UACGUAGGUGGCGAGCGUUGUCCGGAUUUACUGGGCGUAAAGAGCGCGCAGGCGGUCGUUCAAGUCGCGUGUGAAAGCCCCCGGCUCAACUGGGGAGGGUCACGCGAUACUGAUCGACUCGAAGGCAGGAGAGGGUAGUGGAAUUCCCGGUGUAGUGGUGAAAUGCGUAGAGAUCGGGAGGAACACCAGUGGCGAAAGCGGCUCUCUGGUUCACACCUGACGCUGAGGGGCGAAAGCGUGGGGAGCGAACGGG
rnacentral:rRNA from 1 species